rnacentral:rRNA from 1 species
GAUGAACGCUGGCGGCGUGCCUAAUACAUGCAAGUCGAGCGAACAGACGAGGAGCUUGCUCCUCUGACGUUAGCGGCGGACGGGUGAGUAACACGUGGAUAACCUACCUAUAAGACUGGGAUAACUUCGGGAAACCGGAGCUAAUACCGGAUAAUAUAUUGAACCGCAUGGUUCAAUAGUGAAAGACGGUUUUGCUGUCACUUAUAGAUGGAUCCGCGCCGCAUUAGCUAGUUGGUAAGGUAACGGCUUACCAAGGCAACGAUGCGUAGCCGACCUGAGAGGGUGGUCGGCCACACUGGAACUGAGACACGGUCCAGACUCCUACGGGAGGCAGCAGUAGGGAAUCUUCCGCAAUGGGCGAAAGCCUGACGGAGCAACGCCGCGUGAGUGAUGAAGGUCUUCGGAUCGUAAAACUCUGUUAUUAGGGAAGAACAAAUGUGUAAGUAACUAUGCACGUCUUGACGGUACCUAAUCAGAAAGCCACGGCUAACUACGU